AUAAAGUGCCACGAUAGGGAAAAUGACAACAUAAAUAUAUAUUUUUUUAAAAUACUUGAAGCUUAAACAAAGCCCUUUUUUUGAAUUUCACUUUUGCCUGGGACAGAGCAAAAGGAUUUUUUUGAAAAAAACAAAAAUAGACAAACAUAUUACUUAGAUAAAGGAGUGAUAGAAGGGACAUCAACAGUGACCCAAUUGCAGCAAAUUCUUCCUGGAGUCACGAAACUAGGUGGCUCUUCCUCAAAAUUACUCAUCUUAUUUCUCAACCUGAACCGAGUAUUGUAGACACGAGUUGGUUUGUACCGAAUACGCCGAGCCACCUUAACUGAGACGGAGAGAAAAGAAAGGACGUGAGACUCUGUUUUGAAAACUUAUGUAUGUAGUAUGAU
rnacentral:lncRNA from 1 species